UUAACCCAACAGAAAGUCCAUCAGCUCCCUUCUCUUUCUCUUCUGGCUCUGUGGUCAGUUGUGUUAAUGUCCCUCAGCGCCACGGGGAGUGCGGGGGCCAUGAGCCGGGCACCUGUAAUACCAGCUGCUCAGGAGGCUGAAACACGAGAAUCGCUUGAACCCGGGAGAGAGAGGCUGCAGUGAACUGAGACUGCGCCACUGCACUCCAGCCUGGGUGACAGAGCGAGCCUCCAUCCCGGUGGGUAGAUCACCUGAGGUGAAGAGUUUGAGAUCAGCCUGACCAAUAUGGUGAGACCCCGUCUCUACUGAAAAUACAAAAAUUAGCCGGGCAUAGUGGCAUGUGCCUGUAGUCCCAGCUACUCGGGAGGCUGAGGCAGGAGAAUUGCUUGAACCCGGGAGGCAGAGGUUGCAGUGAGCUGAGGUCACACCACUGCACUCUAGCAUGGGCGACAGAGCGAGACUCUGUCUCAAAAACAAAAACAGUGGAAAGGCUGCAGAAAACUCAACUGUUUUUAUUUCAUUUAUUGAUACACGCACCUUCUGCUAACACUAUCUUCAGCUUAUAAUGCGUGAGGAAGGAAUGAAAGCUAUUAGGGUGUGUCCUACCUUCCCUUUUAUUUCUGUGUCAUUAAUUUCAGCAUUAAAUGGUUGGCCAAUACAGGGAAGCAGCAUGGGAUGUUCAUGUUUCUGAGAAUGUCACUGCCUUCUUUCUGUAUUUGAAGCAAGUUCUAGUUUGAACAGAAAGCACAAAAUCUCAGAGCUGUCAGUACCUCUACUUACUCAGCUGUGGAUGCGACAUGUUAUUUUGCGCUUGUUUUGCAUCUUGCUCAACUCCCAGACAUUGUGAAUUCACCAGAACUCCAUGUUGCCGGGGCAUCACACACAAAUAUGCAAAUGACACAAAAACAUAUGGCAGGUACUCAUCUUGUAUGUAUUUCUUCAGUACAUAUGCAUGUUCCAUUGUCUCAGCAGGCUUCAGCUGCAAAACAUAAGUUCAAAAAUAAAACUGUUGGCUGGGCACAGUGGCUCACGCCUGUAAUCCUGCCCAGCACUUUGGGAGGCUGAGGCGAGUGGGCCACUUGAGGUCAGGAGUUUGAGACCAGCCUGGCCAACGUGGUGAAAUCCCAUCUCUAAUAAAAAUACAAAAUUGGCCAGGCGUGAUGGCACAUGCCUGUAAUCCCAGCUACUUGGGAGGCUGAGGCAGGAGAAUCGCUUGAACCCGGGAGGCGGAGGUUGCAGUGAGCCAAGGUCGCGCCAUUGCACUCCAGCCUGGGCAGCAAGAGCGAAACUCCGUCUCAAAUAAAUAAAUGAAUAAAUAAAAUUGUUAAGAAUUUCCAGACUGCACAAGUCAUGUGCUCAUAAAGCCAACCUUGGUUAAAAAGAGAACAUUCAGACUUUCUCUAUUAAAUAUGAUGUAGGUUUUGCAAAGAUGCCUUUUCUCAGGUUGAAGAAAUUAUCUUCUUUUCCUAGUUUGCUGAGAGGUAUUAUCUGAAUGGAUGCUGAAUUUUGUCAAAUGCUUUUUUCUGCAUUUGACAAAAUUGAGAUGAUCUUAUGGGUUUUCCUUUUCAGUAGGCUAAUGUUAAACUGCACCAAUUUUAAGAUGUUAAAACCACCCUGCAUUCCUGUGCAAAUCCCUACUUGGUCAUUAUAUAUUAUUCUUUUUAUAUAUUUCCAGGUUUUCUUUGCUAAUAUUCUGUUAAAGAUUUUUGCUUACAUGUGCAUGAGGGAUAUUCAUCUGGAGUUUUUGUUUUGUAACGUCUUUGUCUGGUUUUGAUAUCAGGGCAAUAUUGAAUUCAUAAAAUAAGUUGGGAAAUGUUCCCUCCUCUUCUACUUUCUGAUAAAAUUUAUGUGGAAUUGGUAUUAUUUCAUUUUUAAAUGUCUGAUGAAAUUCAGCACUGAAACCAUCUGAGGCUGGGGUUUCCUUUGUGGAAGGUUUUAAACCAAAAUUCAAUUUCUACAAUGGAUAUGGGGCUAUUCAACAUUGAUAGUUUGUGCCUCUCAAGUAAUUUGUCCAAUUUGUCUAAGUCGUUCAAUGUAUUGGCACAGAGUUGUUUAUGACAUCAUCUUAUGACUCUCUGAGUGUCUGUAUGAUCUGUAUUCAUGCUCACCUGCAUCCCGGUACUGGUCAUUUGUGUCCUCCCUCAUUUUCCCAAUCAUCUAGCUAGAGGAUUAUCUAUUUUACUGACCUUUUCAAAUAACCAGCUUUGGAGUCACUGAUUUGUAAUGUUUUCCCACUAAUUUUUUUUUCUGCUUCUUUCUCUGGAUCUAGUUUUUCUACUUCAAUCUAAAGGUUUAAGCUUCUAAGGUAGAAGCUUCCAUCACAGACUUUAGACCUUUCUUCUUUUUUUUUUGAGAUAGAGUCUGCUCUGUCCUCCAGGCUGGAGCGCAGUGGCACGAUCUCGGCUCACUGCAACCUCCACCUCCCAGGUUCAAGCAAUUCUCAUGCCUCAGCCUCCCAAGUAAGUGGGAUUACAGGCAUGCCACCACACCCAGCAAUUUUUUCAUAUUUUAGUAGAGAUGGGGUUUCGCCAUGUUGGCCAGGCUGGUCUCGAACUCCUGACCUCAAGGAUGCACCUGCCUUGGCCUCCCAAAGUGCUGGGAUUACAGGCAUGAGCCACUGCGCCCGGCCUAGACCUUUCUUCUUUAUUAAUACAGUAGUCUCCCUUAUCUGUGGCUUCACUUUUUGCAUUUUCAGCUACCCAAGGUCAAUCACAGUCCAAAAAUAUUAAAUGAAAAAUUUAAGAAAUAAAUAAUUCAUAAGUUUUAAAUUGAGUAGUGUGAUGAACUCUAGUACAAUUUUGCUCUGUCCCACUAGAGAUGUGAGUCAGCCCUUUGUCCAACAUAUCCCCACUAUCCAUGCUACCCACCUGUGAGUCACUUGGUAGCUGUCUCGGUUAUGAGAUUGACUGACAAGGUACUGCAGUGCUUCUGUUCAAGUAGCCCUUAUUUUACUUUAUAAUGGCACCAAAGUAUAAAAGUAGUGAUGCUAGCAAUUCAGAUAUGCCAAAGAGAAGCCAUAAAGCGUUUCCUUUAAGUGAAAAGAAAAAAUUUCUCAACCAAAGGAAAGAUCAUACGUUGAGGUGGCGAAGAUCUAGGGUAAGAGCAAAUCUUCUAUAUGUGAACUUGUGAAAAGGGAAAGAUAAAUUUGUGUGAGUUUUGCUGUUGCACUUCAGACUGCAAAAGUAACAGCUACAGUGCAUAGUAAAGGGCUUAAAGAUGAAAAAGGUAUUAAGUUUGUGGGUGGAAGACACAAACAGAAAAUGUGUACCAACUGUUAUAACUGUUCUAUUUUAUUAUCAGUUGUUGUUCAUCUCUUACUGUGCCUAAUUUAUAAGUUAAACUUUAUCAUAGAUACGUAUAUAUAGGAAAAAUAUGGUAUAUAUAGGGUUCAGAACUACUGACAGUUUUAGGCAUCCACUGGGGAUCCUGGAACAGCCCCCACGAAUAAGGGGGAACUACUGUAUAAGCAUUUAAUGCUACAAAUUAUCCUCAAAGCACUGCUUUGUCUGCGUCUGCUAAUUUCAGCAUGUUGUUUUCAUUUUCAUUUAAUUCAAUAUGUUUUCUAAGAUCUCUUGUGAUUUUUUUCCUUCCUUUAGGCAUGUGUUUCCAAAUAUUUUGGGAUUUUUAAAGAUAUAGUCUGUUACUUCUACUUCCAUCCAUUUUUGUCAGAGAAUAUACUUUAUAUGAGUUCAAUCUUUUAAAGUGUAUUGAGUCUUUUUUUUUUUUUGAGAUGGAGUCUGGCUCUGUCACCCAGGCUGGAGUGCAGUGGCGCGAUCUCGGCUCACUGCAAGCUCUGCCUCCUGGGUUCACGCCAUUCUCCUGCCUCAGCCUCCCAAGUAGCUGGGAUUACAGGCGCUUGCCACCAAGUGGGCCCGGCUAAUUUUUUGUAUUUUAGUAGAGACAGGGUUUCACUGUGUUAGCCAGGAUGGUCUCGAUCUCCUGACCUCGUGAUCCACCCGCCUCGGCCUCCCAAAGUGCUGGGAUUAUAGGCGUGAGCCACCACUCCCAGCCAAAGUGUAUUGAGUCUUGUUUUGUAACAGGUUGUGUGUCUUUGAGAACAUUUCAGUGCACUUGAAAAGAAUGUAUGUUCUCUAGUUCUUGGGUGCAGGGUUCUAUAAAUAUUCCUUUGGUACAGCUUUGUCAUUAGGUGCAUACAUAUUUAGAAUUAUGAUGUCUUUUGAUGAAUUGAUUCCUCUGUCAUUAUGAAAUGUCCCUCGCUAUCCCUGAUAAUAUUUCUUGUUCCAAAGUAUAUAUUGUCUGGUACUUAUAGCCACACCAUCUUUAUUUAUUUAUUUAUUUAUUUUGGUAGAGAUGGGGUUUUGCCAUGUUGGCCAGGCUGGUCUCGAACUCCCGGCCUCAAGUGAUCCGCCCACCUUGGCCUCCCAAAGUGCUGGGAUCACAAGUGUGAGCCACCACACCUGGCCUAUUUUUCUUUUAAUUAGGGUUUGCACAAAAUGUCUUUUUCUAUCCUUUUACUUUUAAUCUAUGUGUCUUUUUUUUUUUUUUUUUUUUGAGACUGGGCCUUGCUCUGUCAUGCAAGCUGCAGUGCAGUUGUGCAAUCACAGCUCACUGCAGCCUCAGACUCCUGGACUCAAGCCAUCCUCUUGCCUCAGCCUCCAAGGUAGCUAAGACUACCAGCGCAUACCAUCACCCCCAG
rnacentral:lncRNA from 1 species